UACGUAGGGGGCUCGCGUUGUCCGGAAUCAUUGGGCGUAAAGGGCGUGUAGGCGGCCCGGUAAGUCCGCUGUGAAAGUCGGGGGCUCAACCCUCGAAUGCCGGUGGAUACUGUCGGGCUAGAGUGCGGAAGAGGCGAGUGGAAUUCCUGGUGUAGCGGUGAAAUGCGCAGAUAUCAGGAGGAACACCUAUAGCGAAGGCAGCUUGCUGGGACGAUACUGACGCUAAGGCGCGAAAGCGUGGGGAGCGAACAGG
rnacentral:rRNA from 1 species